rnacentral:antisense_RNA from 1 species
CUUCACCGAACCGAGCCACAACGGCCGGUCUCGAUCCCGGCCGUAGGUCGCGAGCAACGCCUGGGCUUC